rnacentral:rRNA from 1 species
GGGGAGCCUAUACUGCAGUCGAGCGAGCUUGCCUAGAUGAUUUUAGUGCUUGCACUAAAUGAAACUAGAUACAAGCGAGCGGCGGACGGGUGAGUAACACGUGGGUAACCUGCCCAAGAGACUGGGAUAACACCUGGAAACAGAUGCUAAUACCGGAUAACAACACUAGACGCAUGUCUAGAGUUUGAAAGAUGGUUCUGCUAUCACUCUUGGAUGGACCUGCGGUGCAUUAGCUAGUUGGUAAGGUAACGGCUUACCAAGGCAAUGAUGCAUAGCCGAGUUGAGAGACUGAUCGGCCACAUUGGGACUGAGACACGGCCCAAACCCCUACGGGAGGCAGCAGUAGGGAAUCUUCCACAAUGGACGAAAGUCUGAUGGAGCAACGCCGCGUGAGUGAAGAAGGGUUUCGGCUCGUAAAGCUCUGUUGGUAGUGAAGAAAGAUAGAGGUAGUAACUGGCCUUUAUUUGACGGUAAUUACUUAGAAAGUCACGGCUAACUACGUGCCAGCAGCCGCGGUAAUACGUAGGUGGCAAGCGUUGUCCGGAUUUAUUGGGCGUAAAGCGAGUGCAGGCGGUUCAAUAAGUCUGAUGUGAAAGCCUUCGGCUCAACCGGAGAAUUGCAUCAGAAACUGUUGAACUUGAGUGCAGAAGAGGAGAGUGGAACUCCAUGUGUAGCGGUGGAAUGCGUAGAUAUAUGGAAGAACACCAGUGGCGAAGGCGGCUCUCUGGUCUGCAACUGACGCUGAGGCUC